UACGAAGGGGGCUAGCGUUGCUCGGAAUCACUGGGCGUAAAGCGCACGUAGGCGGCUUCUUAAGUCAGGGGUGAAAUCCUGGAGCUCAACUCCAGAACUGCCUUUGAUACUGGGGAGCUCGAGUCCGGAAGAGGUGAGUGGAACUGCGAGUGUAGAGGUGAAAUUCGUAGAUAUUCGGAAGAACACCAGUGGCGAAGGCGGCUCACUGGACCGGCAUUGACGCUGAGGUGCGAAAGCGUGGGGAGCAAACAGG
rnacentral:rRNA from 1 species